CGAAACUGAAUUCAAUCGGUGCUGCAUUCUCAUCUCUCUGCGUCGCCGGGCGCUUCAGUGUGAUGGAUCCCGCAUUCUGAUCACGAACACAACUGUCACUCCGGCAGAAGGAUGAAUUGUACCGAGUAGAUGAUAUCGAGGAAGUCAGGAACGUGACUAGAGACUCCGAACUCAUUGCUAAGCGAAAAAAAAAAGAGUCAGCAAUUUCAGGAGAAACGAGUCAGCAGGUGAUAAAGCGCUCUGGUUUUGUGGGACGUCUGGUGAGAUGCUGUCAACGGACACGAACUAACCGUGCGUGCCUGGACUUGACGAAAGCGCCGAACACUGAUUGCGGUGUCGGCCACUACGAGCGACGUUGUUUUUGGCGCUGACGAACGAAGUCGGUGCGGGAUUUGUUGUCUUGAACAGCAGUCUUCUUGAAGGAAGCGGACUCCGCGACUGCGAAAGAAAAAAGAAGUGGCAGCUGAAACUGCACUGGAGUUAUGUGGUGGCGACGCCUGUCAGCUAGCAAAUAUUCCACCAGAAGCAUCAACUGCCGUCACGUGACGUGUUUGGCAAGUGGCAACAUCUCGAGGCAUCGAUUACCUCCUGGAGAGCAGCACAACUGAAAAGG